GCAUAACGCGAAGAACCUUACCUAGGCUUGACAUGCAUCUCUAAGCGCGUGAAAGCGCGUGACCCUUCGGGGGAUUUGCACAGGUGCUGCAUGGCCGUCGUCAGCUCGUGUCGUGAGAUGUUGGGUUAAGUCCCGCAACGAGCGCAACCCUUGUGAUUAGUUGCCAGCACGUCAUGGUGGGAACUCUAAUCAGACUGCCCAGAUCAACUGGGAGGAAGGUGGGGACGACGUCAGGUCAGUAUGGCCCUUACGCCUAGGGCUGCACACGUACUACAAUGCCCAGUACAAUGAGAACCGAGACCGCGAGGUGGAGGAAAUCUAAAAAACUGGGCCCAGUUCGGAUUGGAGGCUGCAACUCGCCUCCAUGAAGCCGGAAUCGCUAGUAAUGGCACAUCAGCUACGGUGCCGUGAAUACGUUCCCGGGUCUUGUACACACCG
rnacentral:rRNA from 1 species